UGCAAAGAAUGAGGAAGACACAGUCA
rnacentral:piRNA from 1 species